UUCUUUCUCUUUCCUUCUUAUUCCGUUAAUUCCUUUCAAUCAUGAAGAGACUUGCUAGCUCAGAUUCAUUGGGUGCUAUGAUCUCCGUCUGCCCAUUUACAGAGGAGAUAGAAAACUCCCAU